GACGAACGCUGGCGGCGUGCUUAACACAUGCAAGUCGAACGGAAAGGCCCUGCUUUUGUGGGGUGCUCGAGUGGCGAACGGGUGAGUAACACGUGAGUAACCUGCCCUUGACUUUGGGAUAACUUCAGGCAACUGGGGCUCAUACCGGAUCGGCGCUCCUGCUGCAUGGUGGGGGUUGGAAAGUUUCGGCGGGUGGGGAUGGACUCGCGGCUUAUCAGCUUGUUGGUGGGGUAGUGGCUUACCAAGGCUUUGACGGGUAGCAGGCCUGAGAGGGUGACCGGCCACAUUGGGACUGAGAUACGGCCCAGACUCCUACGGGAGGCAGCAGUGUGGAAUAUUGCACAAUGGGCGGAAGCCUGAUGCAGCAACGCCGCGUGCGGGAUGACGGCCUGCGGGUUGUAAACCGCUUUCGCCUGUGACGAAGCGUGAGUGACGGUAAUGGGUAAAGAAGCACCGGCUAACUACGUG
rnacentral:rRNA from 1 species